GGGAAUGGUGAUGACUGUGUUGCACCAGAACAAUCCAAUACAAGCAAAAAGUUUGCAAAUGGGGAGACCACUAGUAAUGGAAAUGGUUUUCAUGGUGUAGUAGAUAGAUCUGGCCGGCGAAAUGAUAGCAUCUCCAGCCCUCUGCAUGUAAGAGGACAGAAUAAUGCUCCUACAACUGGUGAAAUGCCUGGAAUAACUAUACACACGGCUAAUACUGAA
rnacentral:misc_RNA from 1 species